rnacentral:rRNA from 1 species
CCUACGGGAGGCAGCAGUGAGGAAUAUUGGUCAAUGGACGAGAGUCUGAACCAGCAAAGUAGCGUGAAGGAUGACUGCCCUAGGGGUUGUAAACUUCUUUUAUAUGGGAAUAAAAUGUUCCACGUGUGGGAUUUUGUAUGUACCAUAUGAAUAAGGAUCGGCUAACGCCGUGCCAGCAGCCGCGGUAAUACGGAGGAUCCGAGCGUUAUCCGGAUUUAUUGGGUGUAAGGGGAGCGUAGGUGGAUUGUUAAGUCAGUUGUGAAAGUUUGCGGCUCAACCGUAAAAUUGCAGUUGAAACUGGCAGUCUUGAGUAGAGUAGAGGCAGGCGGAAUUCGUGGUGUAGCGGUGAAAUGCUUAGAUAUCACGAAGAACACCGAUGGCGAAGGCAGCUCACUGGACUGCAACUGACACUGAGGCUCGAAAGUGUGGGGAUCAAACAGGAUUAGAUACCCUUGUAGUC